rnacentral:rRNA from 1 species
AGUGAACGCUGGCGGUAGGCCUAACACAUGCAAGUCGAACGGCAGCACAGUAAGAGCUUGCUCUUACGGGUGGCGAGUGGCGGACAGGUGAGGAAUACAUCCGAAUCUACUUUUUCGUGGGGGAUAACGUAGGGAAACUUACGCUAAUACCGCAUACGACCUACGGGUGAAAGCAGGGGAUCUUCGGACCUUGCACGAUUGAAUGAGCCGAUGUCGGAUUAGCUAGUUGGCGGGGUAAAGGCCCACCAAGGCGACGAUCCGUAGCUGGUCUGAGAGGAUGAUCAGCCACACUGGAACUGAGACACGGUCCAGACUCCUACGGGAGGCAGCAGUGGGGAAUAUUGGACAAUGGGCGCAAGCCUGAUCCAGCCAUACCGCGUGGGUGAAGAAGGCCUUCGGGUUGUAAAGCCCUUUUGUUGGGAAAGAAAGGCAGCAGGUUAAUACCCCGCUGUUCUGACGGUACCCAAAGAAUAAGCACCGGCUAACUUCGUG